rnacentral:misc_RNA from 1 species
CUCAAACGACUCAGAAGCACCUGAGCACCAGUGAGCUUAUUAUCCCAGCUAAGCACACCGUAGUAUGGCCCUCCCGAGAAAGCACCAGCAUGCUUGGCCAAACCACGGGUGGUAGCAAGCUGAAGAUAAGUAUUAUUGCCAGUAGCAUAGUAGAGCCAAGCUCCACCCCAAAUAAACUCAUCCCAGUAGCUAGUUGAAUU